CUUUGACCUGUUAUAAUGGUGAAUUUUAAAGAAGGAUAAGACUGAAAUUGACAAAAGCUGCUGCCACUAUGUCAUCACGGAGGAGCAUGGGAUACAAGAGAUAUGUCUGAGAUGCCAGAGGUCUUGGACAAGUUCAGAAUGCAGGAGCUGUGGCUUCUGUCACCUACCAUAACAAGGAAAUGACAGGAGGGAAAAUUCUUCUUCAGUUCAUGGGCUGAGAGCUUGGUCCCAGUGUGUUGAUGCUGACAGCUGGUAGAACUUUUAAGAGGUGGAACCUAUGGAAGG